UACUAGAGUAGCACUCGCAUAUCAAUAAGCGGAGGAAAAGAAACUAACAAGGAUUCCCUCAGUAACGGCGAGUGAAGCGGGAAGAGCUCAAAUUUGAAAUCUUCAAGGUUUGACCUUGACGAAUUGUAGUUUAAAGAAGUGUUUUCUGUUAGUGGAGUGGCAAAAGUUCUCUGGAAUAGGACAUCAUAGAGGGUGAGAAUCCCGUAUUUGGUCAUUCCUCCUAGCGUUGUGAUACACUUUCAACGAGUCGGAUUGUUUGGGAAUGCAGUCCAAAAUGGGUGGUAAAUUUCAUCUAAAGCUAAAUAUUGGCGAGAGACCGAUAGCGAACAAGUACCGUGAGGGAAAGAUGAAAAGAACUUUGAAAAGAGAGUUAAACAGUACGUGAAAUUGUCAAAAGGGAAGCGUUUGACACCAGUGUUGUUUUCUCGAAAAUCAAUUAAAAAUGGCCGGAUUUUGUGUUGUAUUGACUUUAUCAGCUUUCUGCACUUUUUUCUUAUCUUUUUUAAUGCACUUUUCGUUUAACAAGUCAACAUCAAUUUCUUUUGUUGUAAAAGAGUCAUUGGAAGGUGGCUUUUUCUUCGGAAAAAGUGUUUAUAGCCUUUGGCUUCUGCAAUCGGAGAGAUUGAGGUCUGCAGCGUAGAUCCUUCGGGGUUAGAUACAUUUGUGCUAAGCUAUAGUUCUUUAUAGACAACUUGUUGACUAUAAUCAAUCCUGUAACUUACUCGCUUAUGCUAUUUUACCUACGCUUAGGAUGUUGAAGAUAUGCGCGACACG
rnacentral:rRNA from 1 species